rnacentral:rRNA from 1 species
AUUGAACGCUGGCGGCAUGCUUUACACGUGCAAGUCGAACGGCAGCGCGGGCUUCGGCCUGGCGGCGAGUGGCGGACGGGUGAGUAAUACAUCGGAACGUGCCCAGUAGUGGGGGAUAGCUCGGCGAAAGCCGGAUUAAUACCGCAUACGACCUGAGGGUGAAAGCGGGGGAUCUUCGGACCUCGCGCUAUUUGAGCGGACGAUGGCAGAUUAGCUAGUUGGUGGGGUAAAGGCCUACCAAGGCGACGAUCUGUAGCUGGUCUGAGAGGACGACCAGCCACACUGGGACUGAGACACGGCCCAGACUCCUACGGGAGGCAGCAGUGGGGAAUUUUGGACAAUGGGCGAAAGCCUGAUCCAGCAAUGCCGCGUGUGUGAUGAAGGCCUUCGGGUUGUAAAGCACUUUUGGCGGGAACGAAAAGGACUGUGCCAAUACCACGGUUCGAUGACGGUACCCGCAGAAUAAGCACCGGCUAACUACGUG